GUGAGGAAUAUUGGUCAAUGGGCGCAAGCCUGAACCAGCCAUGCCGCGUGCAGGAAGACGGUCCUAUGGAUUGUAAACUGCUUUUAUUUGGGAAUAAACUCCGGUACGUGUACCGGCCUGAAGGUACCAAAUGAAUAAGCACCGGCUAACUCCGUGCCAGCAGCCGCGGUAAUACGGAGGGUGCAAGCGUUAUCCGGAAUCAUUGGGUUUAAAGGGUCCGCAGGCGGUCUUAUAAGUCAGUGGUGAAAGCCUACAGCUCAACUGUAGAACUGCCAUUGAUACUGUAGGACUUGAAUUCGAUCGAAGUGGGCGGAAUGUGACAUGUAGCGGUGAAAUGCUUAGAUAUGUCACAGAACACCGAUAGCGAAGGCAGCUCACUAGGUCUGGAUUGACGCUCAGGGACGAAAGCAUGGGGAGCAAACAGGAUUAGAUACCCGGGUAGUCC
rnacentral:rRNA from 1 species